rnacentral:lncRNA from 1 species
UUUUUUUUUACAGGCAACUAUAUUGCAGUUUCUUCAAUGAUCAAGCUGAUGAAACAGAAACGCUCACAGAAGCUAGAGAAGGAGAGGCUGCUUUUAAAAAUGGAAGAGAGAUUACAAACUGUUAAAUAUACACAUGUAGAGAGGAUCAUUACAAACAUUUGUUCCACUGUACCUUGUUUACAAAUGUAAUAUUGUAAAGACACGGCAUAUAAAUCUCUAAUAUAAUUGUUCUUUCAAAGUUUCUGCAUAAAAGUAAGAAUUACAAGUCCUACACAAUUGCCUAAAAUCAUUCACUAGGCUGAUUAUUAUCUCUGUAAAGGAUUAAACGCGUAAGAUUUUGUUGAUAAGGAUAACACUAGAAAACAAUAUGAAUGCACUAGAAAUCUUGGGUUUUGAUUAAACAUUCCAGGUUCCAUGAAUCACCAUGUUAUUAAUACAUCAAAGACAUGAAUCACCCUGUUAUUAAUUAAUUAAUCACCAUAGUUUCUAGCCACGAAACAAUCCUUAUUAUAAGAUCAUGAACAAAUUAAACGAGCUAAUUCUGAAACAGCUACAAGAAACAAAAACAAAAAAGAUAAGAAGAGAUGAUGAGAAGAGGACAUACCUGGUACUGCUUCUUCUGUCUGAAACCAAAGCUCAAAGAUCUUCUUAGGUGAAUGAUGUUAUUUAGGCUGGAUUGUUUAAUCUGCAAAACCAGAGAGAGAGAUAGAGAGAACGAAGAAGUAGCAAAAUGAGU